GAGGCCAAGAAGAAACUCGGUGGUGAGAAAGGCCUCUGAGAACUGGAACUCACGUUGGGCCUCAACUACAGAGGGAAGAAGAGGAGGGACACCAGAAGUAGCAUGAACAGUAUGUAUAAAGGUCUAAGAACAGGAAGUAAGCCUGUUCUGCCCAAAAUAGAGAGCCAGGAAAUGGUAUGGGCACACGGUGCUCCCAGGGGGCUGUAACUGACUGUGUAGCCUGCCUUUCCUCCUGUGGGAAGCUCUCUUGAGAGCACUUCAGGAUGCAAGACAUCGGGCAACCAAGCAGCUGUGCUUCACAGUUGGACCACACCAAGCUUCUGCCUAUGCAGCCAUAGGACUUGCUUUCUGUUUCACCUAAAAGCCCCAUUCUUCACUCCACUGGAGACCCUUUUUCUGGAAUUCACGUGUCCUCCCUGGUCAGUAGCAAAGAUCAAACGCCGAAUCAUCAGCCAGUCCUUCUAUUCAGGGGAUGGAUUGUUUUUGUCAUCUCAAUAACAGCAGCACAAGGGGAAAGAGAUGGAAGAUAGAAGGCGAGGAAUAUUGCUUCAUACCUUACCUGGAAUGCUAUCAUUAAGAAAGCCUUUACUCCAGCCAGCCAUCACCCUCCCCACACUCCUUCAAAAUGCAAUUUCCAUCUCGCCCAAUCCAGAGCCCAUCAGCAGAGGACUGGUUAAAUAAGCAAUGCGCGGUGCAUAGCUCAGGACAUCAGUGGCCAUUAAAACGAAUGCGGGAUAGAUUUUUAAAAAAAUAACAAUGUCCAUGAUAUGUUGCUAGGUGAUAUAAGAAAAUUACUGAGCUGUGCUUCUGGAAAACGAAUAAAUAAAUAAAGUAAAUAAGUUGGUGCAUGCAUCCAGAAAAUAUCUGUAAAGGCAUACACUGAAAGUGGCUACCUCAUCUGGCAUAUAGAUGGAUGGAUGGAUGGAUGGAUGGAUGGAUGGAUCUGGGUGAAUAGGAAGAGACCACUCACAUUCCAUGUGAAACAUUUCCUUUUUUGUUUGUUUUACAGUAAUUGAUGUUAUAAUCAGGAAAAGCAUUACAGGGAGGGGACAGCAAAUUUCCCGUGAAAAGGAGAUGGCUGGGUUGCUGACACAGGCUACAUCAUUGCAGAACCCUGAGAGCAGGGAAGAUGCAGACAGU
rnacentral:lncRNA from 1 species